rnacentral:lncRNA from 1 species
UUUGAAGUCCCUUUGAGUAUAUUUAUCUAAUUUUUUGUUUAUUCUCAUUACAAGCCUAAAGUGAAAACAAUGAUAUCAUCUUAUUUAAGGGGGUGAAUGAGUCUUGUUUGAAGUUGUGUGGGGUUGAAUUAACAUAACUAUGAUAUUUCAAAAGUUGACAGAAAAGAAAAAAAUAGAAAAAGAAAAGAAAGAAGGAAGAAAAUUCAUGUUCUUAUCUUAUCCCUUAAAAAAAGGAAAAGAGAAAAAUAAAAAGCAAAGAGAAGAAAAAAUGACUGCAAAGAAGUUGAUGGAAAGUAAAUGAAAUAUUGUUUAGUUCAACUCCCACAGUCCAUUCCAAUUCUCUUUUAUCCCUUUAAAUCUUAGCCUAGUACCCCUUAGGAUAAUGAAAUAUUGUUUAGUUCAACUCCCACAGUCCAUUCCAAUUCUCUUUUAUCCCUUUAAAUCUUAGCCUAGUACCCCUUAGGAUUUAUCUCACCCUUACCUUGGCCACGUU